GGCGGUAUAGCUCAGUCGGUAGAGCAACGGAAUCAUAAUCCGCAGGUCCAUGGUUCGAGUCCAUGUGCCGCUA
rnacentral:tRNA from 1 species